rnacentral:rRNA from 1 species
UGGGGAAUUUUGCGCAAUGGGGGAAACCCUGACGCAGCAACGCCGCGUGAGUGAUGAAGGCCUUCGGGUCGUAAAGCUCUGUCAGAGGGGAAGAAAUGCAGGGGUGCUAAUAUCAUCUUUGCUUGACGGUACCCUCAAAGGAAGCACCGGCUAACUCCGUGCCAGCAGCCGCGGUAAUACGGAGGAUGCGAGCGCUGUUCGGAAUUAUUGGGCGUAAAGCGCGUGUAGGCGGUUUGGUAAGUCUGAUGUGAAAGCCCCGGGCUCAACCUGGGAAGUGCAUUGGAAACUGUCAGACUUGAAUACGGGAGAGGGUAGUGGAAUUCCUAGUGUAGGAGUGAAAUCCGUAGAUAUUAGGAGGAACACAGGUGGCGAAGGCGGCUACCUGGACCGAUAUUGACGCUGAGACGCGAAAGCGUGGGGAGCAAACAG